AUUUCGUAUUCUGUUUAGUUUAAGUAAAUUUAUGAUUGAGUUGAUGUUUUAUAAAAAGAAUUUUGUUAAAUAUUGUUUAGAUUAUUAAUUGAACUUAAACAUUUGUUAUUUAAAUAUUAUUUAAUUUUUUUACUAAUAUGUAAAUUUUUUUUGUAUAAAAUGAUUUGCUGAAGGUAGCGCUCUUGCUCUCUCGCCUUGGUAUCAACGGCUGUCGGUGACUGGUGUGGUUUUAUGGUAACUGUUUGGAUGUUAUUAUUGUAUUGUUAUGGAAUGUUUAAUUUUAAAAGUUUGAAGGAUACGACAGCGCCUACGAAUAGUGGACAGGCGAGAGGAUUAACAGUGUUGUCUGGUAACAAAGUUUUGUUUAUAAUAAUAAAUUUAUUUGAAUUAUGGAUUUUUGGUUGGAUUCUUUUUUGCGUUGGUUUGAAGUUAACGAAAUCACUAUACGUAUAAGCUCGAAGAGGAAGUCCGAGGAUACGGAGGGGCGGGGCCGAACGAAUAUUGAAAAUCCGGCGGGAGCCCGGAGUUUUUCAC
rnacentral:lncRNA from 1 species